rnacentral:rRNA from 1 species
AUUGAACGCUGGCGGCAGGCCUAACACAUGCAAGUCGAGCGGAUGAAGGGAGCUUGCUCCUGGAUUCAGCGGCGGACGGGUGAGUAAUGCCUAGGAAUCUGCCUGGUAGUGGGGGAUAACGUCCGGAAACGGGCGCUAAUACCGCAUACGUCCUGAGGGAGAAAGUGGGGGAUCUUCGGACCUCACGCUAUCAGAUGAGCCUAGGUCGGAUUAGCUAGUUGGUGGGGUAAAGGCCUACCAAGGCGACGAUCCGUAACUGGUCUGAGAGGAUGAUCAGUCACACUGGAACUGAGACACGGUCCAGGCUCCUACGGGAGGCAGCAGUGGGGAAUAUUGGACAAUGGGCGAAAGCCUGAUCCAGCCAUGCCGCGUGUGUGAAGAAGGUCUUCGGAUUGUAAAGCACUUUAAGUUUGGGGGAAGGGCAGUAAGUUAAUACCUUGCUGUUUUGACGUUACCAACAGAAUAAGCACCGGCUAACUUCGUG